ACGCUCGACACCUACGGAAGGCAGCAGUGGGGAAUAUUGCACAAUGGGGGAAACCCUGAUGCAGCGACGCCGCGUGAGCGAAGAAGUAUUUCGGUAUGUAAAGCUCUAUCAGCAGGGAAGAAACUGACGGUACCUGACUAAGAAGCACCGGCUAAAUACGUGCCCGCAGCCGCGGUAAUCUGAGCGGGCUGGCAAGGC
rnacentral:rRNA from 1 species